AUUGAACGCUGGCGGCAUGCUUUACACAUGCAAGUCGAGCGGCAGCGCGGGGGCAACCCUGGCGGCGAGCGGCGAACGGGUGAGUAAUGCAUCGGAACGUACCCUGGAGUGGGGGAUAACGCCGCGAAAGCGGCGCUAAUACCGCAUAUGCUCUGAGGAGGAAAGUGGGGGACCUGCAAGGGCCUCACGCUCUGGGAGCGGCCGAUGUCCGAUUAGCUAGUUGGUGGGGUAAAGGCCUACCAAGGCGACGAUCGGUAGCUGGUCUGAGAGGAUGAUCAGCCACACUGGGACUGAGACACGGCCCAGACUCCUACGGGAGGCAGCAGUGGGGAAUUUUGGACAAUGGGGGCAACCCUGAUCCAGCCAUGCCGCGUGAGUGAAGAAGGCCUUCGGGUUGUAAAGCUCUUUUGGUCGGGAAGAAAGUGCCCUGCUUAAUACGCGGGGUAUUUGACGGUACCGGCAGAAUAAGCACCGGCUAACUACGUGCCAGCAGCCGCCGUAAAAC
rnacentral:rRNA from 1 species